ensembl:lncRNA
AGAUGCUUGAUGGAAAGGACCUGGCAGCAGAAAGGCACCCUGCAGAUCUGCAGCGGUGCGAAGCAGCCAUGUGGAAGAGAGCUUAAUGUGAACAACCUUGCCCAGGAAAGAUCAACAGAGUCAGCGUCCCUCUACUCCAGCCAUGUGGUGCCUGCAACAGUAACCUAUGGGCUUAAGCCAGAAGCAUCAGUGUGCAGGUUGCAAAAGCUUCUCCACAGCUUGUGACAGUACCCUUCGUGUGUCCUACAUCUCACACUGCUGAGCACAGGGCUCUUGCCUACCCUGUGGCUACAACAUUUGCUUGCUUUUUUAACAGCAGUGCCGAAGGGAGAAGAGAGAUUUCCACCCUCACCGUGAAAUCUACCCCAGAAAAUCCCAAGUCUUAAAGCAGAGGAACUUGUAAGCUAACGCUUUACCUCUGGGUUAAAAACCAUCCCAUAUAUUAGCAGGAUUUUUUUUUUUUCCCUUUCCUGAAUAUGUGCUGAUCUCAUUCAUCUUGGGAAAAGCACUGGGUGUUCUCAUCCAGGCUCUACCUGGCAAGCUGCACACGCUGUGGCAGAGGGAGCGAACUUCUGAGCAGGCUCUGCAGUGGUGCUGCUGGGCUUCUUCUGCUUUCCUUCUAGAGCAAGAGCGUGGCUUCUUCACCCGGCAUUCCUGGGAGAGAUGAAGGCUUUCAACACAGGCCCUGCCCUCCCUUACAGUGCUACAAUCCUCCCAGCUCUCACCCACCGCACCAGGUCACCCAGGGUAAAAUGGGGAAAGAUGAGAAGUCCUUCUGCCUGCACCAUCCAGACGUUCAGCUUACCGAGGGCUGCUUCUGGGGGUCUGCAGUGAGCAAGCAUUAAAAGCAAGGUGCAGGCACGCCUCUGAUGAAUGCAAAUAGAGGUUGGGCUGUGGUUUGGGAUGUGGAAUCCAGAUGCAUUUUUACAGAGACAGCGACAGGCUCCGAUCCCCAGCACAGCUUCUGUGCCAAGUGUCUCCUCUGUUCCAGCCUCUCUCAGUGCAGAAGUGCUCUUCAAAAUAAAGAGACACAAAGCUUAAACAUUCAUGAAAUUACUUCUUCAGCUUUAAUCUCCAUGAAAUAUGACCGCGCAUUUAAUGAAGGGCUGUGUUGUGUGUGUUUGUGUGUGUAACUUUUCCCUUUUGCUCCCUUCUGAAAAGAAAAAAAAAAAGAAAAAAAAAAAAGAAAAAAGAAAAGAGAAACAACUUGAGAGAGCAAUUAUGGAAAAUUUCAGGCUUAAUGGUUAAAGCGUGGCCAACUGGUAAAGUAAUUGGAAACACAAGGGUAGAAAGGAAAGUGUUUGGCAACACGGGUAUUGUGCUUUGGGAUGAAAGGUGCUAUGUAACUGGAGGACUCUUUUUUAUUGCAAGCUCUCCUCUCUGAUGUGUUAAUUGUGUUUUGCCUGAUCCCUUGACAGUUCAUUAAUUUUUGCCCAAUUGCAGGCUGUCGAGUGCAGAUAAAUUCCAGACUAUUAUGGGAACACCCUAGAAGUUUGUAUAGAAAGGAAACUCACUGUUUCCUGUAUCAUCCUUCUGGGGAUCUUGAAAGAGUUCACAAAAAACACUUAAGCGAACUUUCUUUGCUGGAUAACGGAAGGAAAGGAAACUGUGAACAAGCAAACAACACUCAAUUCCAUGAGACAAGAGAUACUCAUAGGUCACUGAGAGAAAGUGAAGUCAGUGACUGCAGUGCACACACACAGACACACAGAAACUAGCUAAUGGUACUCCCAAAAUAAUGGGAAUCUCUGCAUCUGCGCAGUGUUUUUGAUCUGUGGUGGAACAUCUGUCCCAGUGACAUGUGAAGUGUUUUAGAUGUAUCUUGAAGUUCAAAUAACAGAGUUGGAAAUGGUCAUGGAUCAGCUGAAUAGCUUCCCUUUUUUCCUGCCAUGAACAGCACAGUGAGCAGAGGUCCGUUACCACCAGCCUCGAAUUUUUUGUUACAUACAGAUGGAAAGCAAAAGUGGGAACAGCUGCACACUUUCC